GUUGUGAGGGUUAAGCGACUGGCGUACACGGUGGAUGCCACGGCAGUCAGAGGCGAUGAGGACGUGCUAAUCUGCGAUAAGCGUCGGUAAGGUGAUAUGAACCGUUAUAACCGGCGAUUUCCGAAUGGGAAACCAGUGUGAUUCGUCACUAUCAUUAACUGAAUCCAUAGGUUAAUGAGGCGAACCGGGGGAACUGAAACAUCUAAGUACCCCGAGGAAAAGGAAAUCAACCGAGAUUCCCCCAGUAGCGGCGAGCGGGCGGGGAGCAGCCCAAACCUGAAUCAGUGUGUGUGUUAGUGGAAGCGUCUGAGCGCGCGAUACAGGGUGACAGCCCCGUACACAAAAUGCACAUACUGUGAGCUCGAUGAGUAGGGCAGGGACACGUGGUAUCCUGUCUGAAUAUGGGGGACCAUCCUCCAAGGCUAAAUACUCCCUGACUGACCGAUAGUGAACCAGUACCGUGAGGGAAAGGCGAAAAGAACCCCGGCGAGGGGAGUAAGAAAAAGGAACUCUGAAACCGUGUACGUACAAGCAGUGGGAGCACAGAGCAAUCUGUGUGACUGCGUACCACCACAAUAUAAUGGGUCAGCGACUUAUAUUCUGGACAAGGUUAACCGAAUGAGGAGCCAGAAAUGAGUCUUAACUGGGCGUUAAGUUUUAGGGGUAUAGACCCGAAACCCAGUGAUCUAGCCAUGGGCAGGUUGAAGGUAAGGUAACACUAACUGGAGGACCGAACCGACUAAUGUUGAAAAAUUAGCGGAUGACUUGUGGCUGGGGGUGAAAGGCCAAUCAAACCCAGGGAAGAUAGCUGGUUCUCCCCGAAAGCUAUUGGGGGUAGCGCCUCGUGAAUUCAUCUCCGGGGGUAGAGCACUGUUUCGGCAAGGGGUCAUCCCGACACCAGCCCGAUGCAAGCUGCGAAUACCGGAGAAUGUUAUCACAGAGACACACGGCGGGUGCUAACGUCCGUCGUGAAGAAACAACCCAGACCGCCAGCUAAGGUCCCAAAGUCAUGGUUAAGUGGAAACGAUGUGGGAAGGCCCAGACAGCGGGAUGUUGGCUUAGAAGCAGCCAUCAUUUAAAAGAAAGCAUAAUAGCUCACUGGUCGAGUCGGCCUGCGCGGAAGAUGUAACGAGGCUAAACCAUGCACCGAAGCUGCGGCAGCGGCAACUUAUGCGUUGUUGGGUAGGGGAGCGUUCUGUAAGCCUGCGAAGGUGUGCUGUGAGCAUGCUGGAGGUAUCAGAAGUGCGAAUGCUGACAUAAGUAACGAUAAAGCAGGUGAAAAGCCCGCUCGCCGGAAGACCAAGGGUUCCUAUCAACGUUAAUCAGGGCAGGGUGGUCGACCUAAGAGCGAGGCCGAAAGGCGUAGUCGAUGGGAAACGGGUUAAUAUUCCUGUACUUGGUGUUACUGCGAAGGGGGACGGAGAAGGCUAUGUUGGCCGGGCGACGGUUUCAGUUUAAGCGUGUAGGCUGGUUUCGGGCAAAUCGGAAAAUCAAGGCUGAGCGUGAUGACGAGCUUUUCACGGCAUUAAAAGGUUCGAACUGCUUCUUAUAUCGAGCACGUCAAAUGUGGAAGAAAAAGUCAGGUGAGAAUACCAAGGCGCGAGAGAACUCGGGUGAAGGAACUAGGCAAAAUGGUGCCAUCUUCCCGGGAGAAGGCACGCUGAUAUGUAGGUGAAGUGAUCCCUCGCGGAUGGAGCUGAAAUCAGUCGAAGAUACCAGCUGGCUACCGCAACUGUUUAUUAAGCACAGCGCUGUGUACAAACACGAAAGUGGACAUUAUGCGGUGUGACGCCUGCCCGGUGCCGGAAGGUUAAUUGAUGGGAGUUAGCGCAAGCGAAGCUCUUGAUCGAAGCGGUAAACGGCGGCCGUAACUAUAACAGUGAUCCUAAGGUAGCAGAAAUUCCUUGUCGGGUAAGUUCAAGCCUGCACGAAUGUGAUGGCAGAGACUGUCUCCACGAGACUCAGUGAAAUUGAACUCGCUGUGAAGAUGCAGUGUACCCGCGGCAAGACGGAAAGGCCCGUAGACCUUUACUAUGGCGCUUGACACUGAACAUUGAGCCUUGAUGUGUAGGAUGGGUGGGAGGCUUUGGAAGUGUGGUUGCCAGUCUGCAUGGAGCCGACAGCGAAAUACCACCCUUUAAUGUUUGAUGUUCUAACGUUGACCCGUAAUCCGGGUUGCGGACAGUGUCUGGUGGGUAGUUUGACUGGGGCAGUCUCCUCCUAAGUAACGGAGGAGCACGAAGGUUGGCUAAUCUUUGGUCGGACAUCAGGAGGUUAGUGCAAUGGCAUAAGCCAGCUUGACUGCGAGCGUGACUGGCGCGACGAGUGCGAAAAGCAGGUCAUAGUGAUCCGGUGGUUCUGAAUGGAAGGGCCAUCGCUCAACGGAUAAAGGUACUCCGGGGAUAACAGGCUGAUACCGCCCAGAGUUCACCAUAUCGACGGCGGUGUUUAGCACUUUUACGAUGUCAGCUCAUCAUCUGUGGGGCUGAAGUAGGUCCCAAGGGUAUGGCUGUUCGCCAUUUAAAGUGGUACACGAAGCUGGGUUUAGAACGUCGUGGGAACAGUUCGGUCCCUAUCUGCCGUGGGCUGGAGAAUUGAGGGGGGCUGCUCUAGUACGAGAGGACCGGAGUGGGCGCAUCACUGGUGUUCGGGUUGUCAUGCCAAUGGCACUGCCCGAUAGCUAAAUGCGGAAGAGAUAAAUUGCUGAAAGCAUCUAAGCACGAAACUUGCCCAGAGAUGAGUUCUCCCUGACUCCUUGAGAGUCCUGGAAGGAACGUUGAAGACGACGACGUUGGUGAAGAGCCGGGUGUGUAAGCGCAGCGAUGCGUUGAGCUAACCGGUACUAAUGAACCGUGGGAA
rnacentral:rRNA from 1 species